GUACACUCCUACGGGAGGCAGCAGUAGGGAAUCUUCCACAAUGGGUGCAAACCUGAUGGAGCAAUGCCGCGUGAGUGAAGAAGGUCUUCGGAUCGUAAAGCUCUGUUGUUAGAGAAGAACACGUGCUAGGUAACUACUAGCGCCUUGACGGUAUCUAACCAGAAAGUCACGGCUAACUACGUGCCAGCAGCCGCGGUAAUACGUAGGUGACAAGCGUUGUCCGGAUUUAUUGGGCGUAAAGGGAGCGCAGGCGGUCUGUUUAGUCUAAUGUGAAAGCCCACGGCUUAACCGUGGAACGGCAUUGGAAACUGACAGACUUGAAUGUAGAAGAGGAAAAUGGAAUUCCAAGUGUAGCGGUGGAAUGCGUAGAUAUUUGGAGGAACACCAGUGGCGAAGGCGAUUUUCUGGUCUAACAUUGACGCUGAGGCUCGAAAGCGUGGGGAGCGAACAGGAUUAGAUACCCGUGUAGUCCCAUGAU
rnacentral:rRNA from 1 species